UGGGGAAUUUUGGACAAUGGGGGAAACCCUGAUCCAGCCAACCCGCGUGUGCGAUGAAGGCCUUCGGGUUGUAAAGCACUUUUGGCAGGAAAGAAACGUCAUGGGUUAAUACCCCGUGAAACUGACGGUACCUGCAGAAUAAGCACCGGCUAACUACGUGCCAGCAGCCGCGGUAAUACGUAGGGUGCAAGCGUUAAUCGGAAUUACUGGGCGUAAAGCGUGCGCAGGCGGUUCGGAAAGAAAGAUGUGAAAUCCCAGAGCUCAACUUUGGAACUGCAUUUUUAACUACCGGGCUAGAGUGUGUCAGAGGGAGGUGGAAUUCCGCGUGUAGCAGUGAAAUGCGUAGAUAUGCGGAGGAACACCGAUGGCGAAGGCAGCCUCCUGGGAUAACACUGACGCUCAUGCACGAAAGCGUGGGGAGCAAACAGG
rnacentral:rRNA from 1 species